rnacentral:rRNA from 1 species
GAAACAUCUUAGUACCCGGAGGAAGAGAAAGAAAAUUCGAUUCCCUUAGUAGCGGCGAGCGAAACGGGAAGAGCCCAAACCAACAAGCUUGCUUGUUGGGGUUGUAGGACACUCUAUACGGAGUUACAAAGGACGACAUUAGACGAAUCAUCUGGAAAGAUGAAUCAAAGAAGGUAAUAAUCCUGUAGUCGAAAAUGUUGUCUCUCUUGAGUGGAUCCUGAGUACGACGGAGCACGUGAAAUUCCGUCGGAAUCUGGGAGGACCAUCUCCUAAGGCUAAAUACUCUCUAGUGACCGAUAGUGAACCAGUACCGUGAGGGAAAGGUGAAAAGCACCCCGGAAGGGGAGUGAAAUAGAACCUGAAACCGUGUGCUUACAAGUAGUCAGAGCCCGUUAAUGGGUGAUGGCGUGCCUUUUGUAGAAUGAACCGGCGAGUUACGAUUUGAUGCAAGGUUAAGCAGUAAAUGUGGAGCCGUAGCGAAAGCGAGUCUGAAUAGGGCGUUUAGUAUUUGGUCGUAGACCCGAAACCAGGUGAUCUACCCUUGGUCAGGUUGAAGUUCAGGUAACACUGAAUGGAGGACCGAACCGACUUACGUUGAAAAGUGAGCGGAUGAACUGAGGGUAGCGGAGAAAUUCCAAUCGAACCUGGAGAUAGCUGGUUCUCUCCGAAAUAGCUUUAGGGCUAGCCUCAAGUGAUGAUUAUUGGAGGUAGAGCACUGUUUGGACGAGGGGCCCCUCUCGGGUUACCGAAUUCAGACAAACUCCGAAUGCCAAUUAAUUUAACUUGGGAGUCAGAACAUGGGUGAUAAGGUCCGUGUUCGAAAGGGAAACAGCCCAGACCACCAGCUAAGGUCCCAAAAUAUAUGUUAAGUGGAAAAGGAUGUGGCGUUGCCCAGACAACUAGGAUGUUGGCUUAGAAGCAGCCAUCAUUUAAAGAGUGCGUAAUAGCUCACUAGUCGAGUGACACUGCGCCGAAAAUGUACCGGGGCUAAACAUAUUACCGAAGCUGUGGAUUGUCCUUUGGACAAUGGUAGGAGAGCGUUCUAAGGGCGUUGAAGCAUGAUCGUAAGGACAUGUGGAGCGCUUAGAAGUGAGAAUGCCGGUGUGAGUAGCGAAAGACGGGUGAGAAUCCCGUCCACCGAUUGACUAAGGUUUCCAGAGGAAGGCUCGUCCGCUCUGGGUUAGUCGGGUCCUAAGCUGAGGCCGACAGGCGUAGGCGAUGGAUAACAGGUUGAUAUUCCUGUACCACCUAUAAUCGUUUUAAUCGAUGGGGGGACGCAGUAGGAUAGGCGAAGCGUGCGAUUGGAUUGCACGUCUAAGCAGUAAGGCUGAGUAUUAGGCAAAUCCGGUACUCGUUAAGGCUGAGCUGUGAUGGGGAGAAGACAUUGUGUCUUCGAGUCGUUGAUUUCACACUGCCGAGAAAAGCCUCUAGAUAGAAAAUAGGUGCCCGUACCGCAAACCGACACAGGUAGUCAAGAUGAGAAUUCUAAGGUGAGCGAGCGAACUCUCGUUAAGGAACUCGGCAAAAUGACCCCGUAACUUCGGGAGAAGGGGUGCUCUUUAGGGUUAACGCCCAGAAGAGCCGCAGUGAAUAGGCCCAAGCGACUGUUUAUCAAAAACACAGGUCUCUGCUAAACCGUAAGGUGAUGUAUAGGGGCUGACGCCUGCCCGGUGCUGGAAGGUUAAGAGGAGUGGUUAGCUUCUGCGAAGCUACGAAUCGAAGCCCCAGUAAACGGCGGCCGUAACUAUAACGGUCCUAAGGUAGCGAAAUUCCUUGUCGGGUAAGUUCCGACCCGCACGAAAGGCGUAACGAUUUGGGCACUGUCUCAACGAGAGACUCGGUGAAAUCAUAGUACCUGUGAAGAUGCAGGUUACCCGCGACAGGACGGAAAGACCCCGUGGAGCUUUACUGUAGCCUGAUAUUGAAAUUCGGCACAGCUUGUACAGGAUAGGUAGGAGCCUUUGAAACGUGAGCGCUAGCUUACGUGGAGGCGCUGGUGGGAUACUACCCUAGCUGUGUUGGCUUUCUAACCCGCACCACUUAUCGUGGUGGGAGACAGUGUCAGGCGGGCAGUUUGACUGGGGCGGUCGCCUCCUAAAAGGUAACGGAGGCGCUCAAAGGUUCCCUCAGAAUGGUUGGAAAUCAUUCAUAGAGUGUAAAGGCAUAAGGGAGCUUGACUGCGAGACCUACAAGUCGAGCAGGGUCGAAAGACGGACUUAGUGAUCCGGUGGUUCCGCAUGGAAGGGCCAUCGCUCAACGGAUAAAAGCUACCCCGGGGAUAACAGGCUUAUCUCCCCCAAGAGUUCACAUCGACGGGGAGGUUUGGCACCUCGAUGUCGGCUCAUCGCAUCCUGGGGCUGUAGUCGGUCCCAAGGGUUGGGCUGUUCGCCCAUUAAAGCGGUACGCGAGCUGGGUUCAGAACGUCGUGAGACAGUUCGGUCCCUAUCCGUCGUGGGCGUA